UGUCGGGGUAGCCUAGCCCGGUAAGGCGGUAGACUCGAGAUCUACUGCUCUCUGUAGCUCGGGAGUUCGAAUCUCCCCCCCGACGUCC
rnacentral:tRNA from 1 species